AUGGCGGGCGGCAGCAAGGCCGCGGCCGCUGUGGCUGUGGUCUUGGCCUUCCUACUCUUCGCCAUCGCCUCGACAGCAGCCGCCGCCGCACCCGACAUGUCCAUCAUCUCGUACAACUCGGCGCACGCCGUCCGUGGGCUGGAGCGGACGGAGGCCGAGGUGCGCGCGAUGUACGACCACUGGCUGGCGCGGCACGGCCGCUCGUACAAUGCGCUCGGCGAGUACGACCGCCGGUUCCGGGCGUUCUGGGACAACCUCAGGCUCGUCGACGCCCACAACGCCGACGCCGACGCCCGCGGGUUCCGCCUCGGGAUGAACCGCUUCGCCGACCUCACCAACGACGAGUUCCGCGCUGCCUACCUCGGCGCCAUCCCGAGCAGCCAAGGCCGCCACGCCGUCGGCGGGAGGUACCUCCACGACGGCGCCGAGACGCUGCCGGAGUCCGUGGACUGGAGGGAGAAGGGCGCCGUGGCCCCUGUGAAGAACCAGGGCCAGUGCGGCAGCUGCUGGGCGUUCUCGGCGGUCGGCGCGGUGGAAGGCAUCAACAAGAUUGUCACGGGCGACCUGGUGACGCUGUCCGAGCAGGAGCUGGUGGAGUGCGCAAGGAACGGGCAGAACAGCGGGUGCAAUGGCGGGAUGAUGGAGGACGCGUUCGACUUCAUCGCCCGGAACGGCGGCAUCGACACGGAGGAGGACUACCCCUACACCGCCAAGGACGGCAGGUGCGACCACGCCAAGAGGAGCCGCACGGCCGUGUCCAUCGACGGCUUCGAGUUGGUGCCGGAGAACGACGAGCUGUCCCUGAAGAAGGCGGUGGCGCACCAGCCCGUGAGCGUGGGCAUCGAGGCCGGUGGCCCCGAGUUCCAGCUGUACGAGUCGGGGGUGUUCACCGGCAGGUGCGGCACGGAGCUGGACCACGGCGUGGUGGCGGUGGGGUACGGCACCGACAAUGGCAGGGACUACUGGAGCGUGCGCAACUCAUGGGGCCCAGACUGGGGCGAGGGCGGCUACAUCCGGAUGGAGCGCAACGUCACCGCGCGCGCCGGCAAGUGCGGCAUCGCCAUGAUGGCGUCCUACCCCGUCAAGAACGGGCCCAACCCCUCACCCAAGCCUGACCCGCCGAAGCCGGUGGCCUGCGACCGCCACAGCAAGUGCCCGGCGGGGAGCACCUGCUGCUGCACCCACGGCGUGAGAAAGACGUGCUUCGUCUGGGGGUGCUGCCCUGCCAAGGGUGCCACCUGCUGCAAGGACGGCGCCACCUGCUGCCCGUCGGACUACCCCGUCUGCAACGCCGAGAACCGCACUUGCUCCAAGAGCAAGAACAGCCCGUACAACGUGGAUGCGCUUAUCCGUACUCCGGCCAAGCGAAGCAGGACAACGACGAUUACACAACUGGUCGAUUUUUAG
rnacentral:rRNA from 1 species